GCGCAUUGAACCUGCUUCCGCCUUCUUGAUGACUUGCAGUAAGAUGUCUGGCGCCUGAGUUUCUCUUAAUUCAGCUCAAAAUAAAGCAUUAUAAUGCAUUUCUCAACUACUACAUAUACAACAACACUAUCCUUUAUGAAUCAUUUCCGUAAGUAUUAAACAAUUCAAUGCUUUUAAUUCUGGAGACUUUCGGUUUUUGGCGUCUCAAUUCUUUGUGUCUGUUCUCUGUUUUAUGAAUAUGAGAUGACCUUGAUUUGUGCGGGUUUGGCUGCUAUUUCUACCUAUGGAAGACAGUUGUCUAUGAUAUGUUCGGGAUUUUGACAUCUAUUUCUAGCUAUGUAAGGUACCUGCAAGGUGGUAAUGUAGAAGAUGAUUGCUACUUACGAGGGACGUUCAAUAAGUAAUGCCCCUGACCCACUUGCAGUUGAUUGAUCUUGCUGAAAUUUUACAUGUGCAAUUAUUCAUAUCUCUAUGGAUUACAUGGCGAAUUACAGCUCUGAACUAAUUGUGGUUUCUGAUUUCCAGGUGUUUGAACUUAGUCAAGUGUGAAAUGGAGCCUUUAGAGUGUCGAGCAGUGAUCCGUUUUUUGUAUUUGAAAGGACGCACACCAUGGGAGACUUUUGAUGAAAUGAAAGUAACUUGGUUAAUAUAGGGCGUUACGCAUAUCAGAAAAUCAAAAAAAAAUGUGUGUAAUAGGUGUAAAACAACUUCCUAUGAACGAAUAUGAAAAAAAAAAAUUCGCGCACGCGAAAGGGGGGUGGGAGAGAGGCCUCGGAAAAUUCACAUCGGGAAGUUCCGAAAGCGUCUGAGGGGCUGACCCGGGCACCAAAACAAAAAAAAAAAAAUAGUGUAAUAUGUGUAAAACAACUUGCUCUAAACGAAUAUGACAAAAAAAAUGCGCUCUCGCGAAAGAGGGGUGGGGGAGAGGCCUCGGAAAAUUUAUAUCGGGAAUUUCCGAAAGCGUCUGAACCGGGCACAAAAACAAAAACAGCGUAAUAGGUGUAAAACAACUUGCUCUAAACGACUAUCAUGAAAAAAAUGCGCGCUCGCGAAAGUGGGGUGGGGGAGAGGCUUCGGAAAUUUCACAUCUUCAGUCCACGGCCUUUAAACUAAGAAAAAAUAGUGUAAUUGGUGUAAAACUACUUGUUCUAAACGAGUAUCAAGAACACACACUCACACAUGAAUCAUAAACUCCGUAUUUUUGUACAUAUUUCGCAAAAAAAAAAAAUAAUAAAGAGAAGAAAUUCUGGUGAUGAUGCCCCAUCAUAUGACCUUGUAAAACGCUGGCAUCGUGAAUUCAAACAUGGUCGGAACUCUGUGGAAAAGGCUCCCAGAUCUGGUCGCCCCCUUCUGCCAUUGAUGAGGCAUCUGUCCGUCAAGUUGAGGCUGCCAUUUUGGAAGAUGGCGCAUAACUAUUCGCCAAAUAGCCCAUUAGGUCAAGAUUAGUACCGGGUCUGUGGAAACUAUCAUUCAUGACCCUUUGCAUAUGCAAAGGUUGUCUUCCAGAUGGAUUCCCAGGUUGUUCACACCUUUUCAGAAGCAAGAACGCGUCGAGUGCUCGAGGAUGAAUUUGGAGAUGUGCCAAGAAGAUGAGUCAAAGUUUUUCAAAAGACUGAUUGCACAGGAUGAAAUAUGGGUCCAUCACUAUGAUCCAGAGACCAAAGCCCAGUCAAUGCAAGGGAAGCACCGUGACUCACCUCCUCCAAAGAAGGCAAGGGUGCAGCCCUCCGCUGGCAAGGACAUACUCACAGUCUUCUGAGACCAGGAUGGAGUAGUGAUGACAGAUUUCCUGGCAAAGUGUACCACAAUUACAGGAGCCUAUUAUGCUUCAUUUUUGAGGAAAUUAAGAGAAGCUAUCAAAAUCAAGAGGCGGGGCAAGAUCAGCAAAGGCAUCCUCCUCCUGCAGGACAACGCUCCGGUCCACAACUCGCGUGUCGCCAGAUCAGAAGCACAGGCGUGCGGCUAUGAACUCCUCCCCCAUCCCCCUACUCUCUUGACCUUGCACCCUCUGAUUUUCACCUCUUCCCAGCCAUGAAGUUGUUUUUGAAAGGAAAACGUUUCCCAGGUGAUGCAGCCUUGAUUUCUGAAGUCACGUCGUGGUUGGAGGACCAAGCUGGGGUCUUCUACAAAAACGGUCUUCAGAGCUGCAUCAAACGAUGGGAGAAAUGCGUAACUCUGGGUGCUUCCUAUGUAGGAAAAGACUAAUAACUGUGCCAAGUUUCGUUCCUCUACUGCUAUGGGAAGUGGGUCAGGGGCAUUACUUAUUGAACGCCCCUCGUAUCAAUCUCAGAAAGGCAAAAGAUACAUUUGGUUUGGGUGAUAUUUGAACUCGGAACGUAAGGGAACAUAACUAAAUAGCACAAAGAUAUUUUGUUUGGUGCUCUAUCGAUUUUUCUAUCUAUAUUCCCCUCCAUCCAUCUCUGUAUUGAGUAUAUAUAUAUUACUUUAUUAUUUCAGUGUGCACUCAAUGACUAUAAUGUUUUGCAUCUUUGGAUAUGGCUGCCCUGGUCCUGGUAAAGCAUAUACAAUGGUAGUUGGUAAUGUAGAAGAUGAGAUGAUGGGUAUGAUUCCAAGAGCUGCUAUUCAGGUGUUUGAAACAGUUGAAUUAUUAGUUGAGAAAGGUUAGACGGUAAGUUUCUAUUUAAAAACAUGAUAUAUAAAAAAAUCUUACAUUUUGUGAAUCUUCUUGGUGAUUAUUCAAGAGUUUAUAACUGAUUGUGAAUAUUGGUAUGGUUUUAUUUUUCUGUUAAAAUAUGCUGCCUUGUAUAGUUUUAGCUGCUGUUUCCUUAACUGAGUCAAUUGUCUAAUCUGUUGUUUGUCAGUUCAACAGUGAUUAUUUAUCUUCAUUUGAAAUUUUUGAUUUGAUAUCCUCAGUGGUUCUUAUUUUGAUUUGCUGUCUAGAUCUGAUCUAUCAACCAUCCCACUUGUGGUUAUCUGGUAUCUAGUCCCACACUAACUACAUAACUUCAUCAUUGUAUCUCAUGCCACAAUAUUUUGGCUGACAUGAAAUUGUACCAUGUAUUAACAGCUGUAAAUUGAAAACUGGGUUUUUGAAUUCAUUAGUACCACAUAACUAGCUGUGUUGUCAGCAAUUUCUUUCUGGUCGUUUAAUGUCGUUGGGCCACAUAGACUAUAUUCUUUUUUAUACUAAUUUCCUUAAAUCUCAGAGGAAGAAAUAUGUAAAGUUAUCCUUGGCAGGUUAAAAUUUCAAAUUUAGAAGGAUGUUGCCAGCAAUGUGUGAUUUCUGAUUGUCCUAUUGCAUGGCACCAUAGGCAAGUAAAUGCAGGCUAAACAAGACCUUGAGAAAGAAUUUGUGAGCUGGAAACUAUAAAACCUGUUGUACAUGUCAUCAUUGUGACUGUCAUUUAAUGUCCACUUUUCAUUUCUUACAUGAGUCAGAUGGAAUUUGUUGAGGCAUAUUUUCUUUUGCUGGAUGCCCCUCUUGUCAUUAUCUCUUGUCUGUUUGCAAGCAAGGUAACAUUUUUUGAUAGCUAGCCAUGUUUUUCAUGGAAAACUAGAAACGAAUAACCUUCUUUGUAUGAUGAUGAUGUCUAGAUAAGGUCACACGUGUACAACUGGAUUUUUUCAGUUUCUGCCUACCAAAUCCACUUGCAAGGCCUUGAUUGUUCAGGGCCUGUGGUAGAAAGCACUUGGCCCAACGUGCAACUAUGUGUGGUUGAACUGAAACCCAAACCAUGGGCAUUGUUAAAUGUUGUUCUUAUGAACUGAAGUUAUCUGUGGUUAUCUGGUAUCUAGUCCCACACUAACUACAUAACUUCAUCAUUGUAUCUCAUGCCACAAUAUUUUGGCUGACAUGAAGUUGUACCAUGUAUUAACAGCUGUAAAUUGAAAACUGGGUUUCUGAAAAUUUAAGAUGUUAUUAAAUGUUGCUGUUGUGAAUUUAAGAUAUUAGAUGUUCUGAUAUCCAUGCAGGUAUGGAAAGGUGGAGGACUUGAAAACGAUGAUGAUGAUUUUGAUUUUAUCAGAAAUGAAAUCUGUGAUAACCUAUUUUGAUUUCUAUUUUAAAUGUUUGAACAACAUAGGACAGAAGCCUUGAGUUAUUUUUAAUCAAUAGGAAAAAGGUCAGGUUCUUGAUUACUUAGGACUAAGAACAACAAAAAUGGAAAUGAAAAAAAAAAGGACAGUAAAGCAAUUUUUAUCAUGGGAAAUAUCCCGGUAGCAUUUAGGUUGGAAGUUAUUUUUAAGAAACAGGUCUUGAGGGAGAAAAGUAUAUAUGUAAAGUAAUAAAUGACAUUUAAAUUUUCAUUUGAAUGAUGGAGAUUAAAGAUUUUCCAUUCUUGAUUUGUCAAUCGUAAUUUUAUGGAAAUUGUGUGUGUAUAUACUCAAAUAUCGCAGGCUUAUCAUAUAUUUUAACUUUUACUAAUCUGUUUUGUUAAACCAUUUGAUAACAUAAAAAGUAACAAUUAUUUACUCAAUGUUGUGAAAACUUAAUCAGUUAAGUAAUGGCACACACACACAGGUGCUGCAUUCAUGAUCAUAAAAUUGUGGUUUUGAUUCCUGGAAUGAGUGAUGCAUUGUGUUCUUGAGCAAAACACUUAAUUUCAUGUUGCUGCUGGCAAAGAUGAGUAAUCCUGUGACAGACUGGCAUCUUAUCCAGGAGUGGGAGAAUAUAUACGCCACAGAAUUCAAGAUAUUGGUUUUAUGAGCCCAUGUCAUGGGAAGGACUUUUUCAUGUAUUUGUGUGUGUAUAUAUCUCUGUGCCAAAGGCAUGUAAAAAGUACUAUCUGAAUAUGAUCGAUGCCAGGCUCGCCUAACUGGCUCCUGUGCCGGUGGCACGUAAAAAGCACCCACUACACUCUUCGGGGUGAUUGUUGUUAGGAAGGGCACCUAGCUGUGGAAACAUUGCCAGAUCAGAUUGGAGCCUGGCACAGCCGCUGGCUUUCCAGACCUUUGUCAAGCCAUCCAACCCAUGCCAGCAUGGAAAAUGGACAUUAAAUGAUGAUGAUGAUAUAUAUAUACAUACACACGUAUAUGAAUAAUAUGCUUACAUUAUAAGAAUUUUAAAAAUUUAUGAGAAUUGAAGUAAAUUUUUUUUCAUGGAGGAACUCAAAAUAGAUAAAGCUUUCAAUAACAGCAAGUAGAAUAUUGGGUUAAAAGAAAUCCUUCGAUGGAACAAAGGUCAACCCACAUCUGUUAAUACGACAAAUGCGUCUGUCUCAUGGGCAGCCUUUAACUCUUUCCUAUUCAAAGGGCCUUUUCUUUUUACGCCUGAUAUUCUACACACUAUUUUAUAUGAGGGGUACUGAAAAAUUCUUGAUUUUGGGUAAAAGAAAAUACAUUGGGGAACAGUUAUGAUUUUAUUGAACAUAUUCACCUCUCAGAUUCACACACUUUUUGCAAUGGUCCUUCAGUUUUUCUAAGCCCUAUAAAAGAACUAAGAAGGUUGGGCCUCCAGCCAAGCCUUUCAUGAUACACUUAAAACCAGGAACUUUUCAGCACCCCUUGUGUUUGUGUGUGUGUAAAGUUUAUGUUCAGUUAAAUGAAGGAAAGAAACUGGAGAGUUAAGAUAAUUAUUUAUCAUUAAAAGAUUGUUAAUCUUUACUUCUUACAGCCAUUUCCAUUAGUGCUCAAUAGGUAAAUUACGAAUUUAUGCUUUAAGUUUGCAUUUAUGUGUUAUGAGCAUAAUUUCAUCAGAGAAAGAUAUACAUGAAGAUAUUACACAUGGACCCUUCCAUUCUUGCAAGCAGACUAAAUAAGGAGUUAUUAUUUUUGUAUUCUUAUGUGUGGGUGAAUGGUUGACAGAUCAUUUGGAAUAUAAUGAGUAAUAAGGU
rnacentral:lncRNA from 1 species